GUUACAUUGGUGGGUAAAAUGUCAUGCUUCCUUAACGACAACUUGUCUGAUCAUUAAAAUAUACAUUUCUCACAACUGCGUUACCCCCUCCAGUCAGCAGAUGGCAGUCUGAGACUUUAAGGCGAUGCUGCUGAUGUGACGUAUAAUGUAGUGGACGGAACGCUUCUUUCAACAGCAGCAACAGUUAGUCAGACACCUCGGUAGCGUGCUAGACAAAAUAGACGAAACAAUAAAGCUCUUUAGACGCUUUAGUGUAUAUUAGCCGCUGUGUUUUAAACACACUUCUGUCGUCUAGUUAGUUAUCAGAUUUAAUUUAAUAUUUACGGUGUUGUUAUUAUUGGUCAUCUAGCUCGCUGGUUAAGUUAGCAUUAGCCUACCUAGCUAACAUCUCCGACCAUGUGUUCACUAAGCUACUCUCCUCCUGAUAAAGAAGAGGAGGUCUGCUGGACGGAGAAAGAAGGUCUGUGGCUGAAUGUUGUCGUAAAAGAGGAGAAGGAAGAGGACCAUGUCACUAUAGAAAAACAAGUAGAUGCGGAGGCCACGGGAUCUCCAAAUCUGGACAGUUGCUGCUCUGAUGGUAAAUAAUGUACUUACAUUCAGUAAUCUUGCUCUGAUUUGUCAUCCCGAAGGUCCCAGUAGUUUUGUUUGAUAAAAUCCAUGUUUAUAUCCUGAUCCAUGUUGUAUACAGCGUUUUGCAUGAAUUCCGACUCUUUCAACUUGCAACAAAACAAUUUAUGAAAUCUAAAUCGGCAAAACGUUGUUUAACCCGGGUCAAGUUUGGUUCCUGUGCAAAUCCCCCAGACACUCUAGAAGACAACCAAACUUGUUUCAUCAUUCUACAUUACAUAUUGGCUACGCAACACGUCAAUUAUACCAUGAAGGUCAGCCACCAUUAAGCACCAAUGAGAAGAGCUGUGUUCACUUGAUUGACAGUGUCUUGGUCCAAUGACCACCUAUCAUUUUGAAACAUAGCUAGCUAGAUAGCCAAUGAGCUGGGCUUUCCAGCAGUAUGUGAACGGAAACAGGACACACGGUAGUUUACAUUGGUUCGUUCUCUUCUACAAACUUUUCUCAAAACUG
rnacentral:lncRNA from 13 species